ensembl:lncRNA
CUGCUUAAACUUGCUGCAACUGUUUUCCGAUACUUCAAAUGAACCACAAACAUAUCCUGUGCAUACUAUACUAGCGUCAUGGUUGAAUUUUCACAUUUACAAUAGUGCACCUGUACAGCAGGUGACUUUUUCAUAGAUCUAAAUCAAACAGAUUGCAGAAUCUAAAAGCCCUUUACAGUAUCUUUACACUUAUAAAAAUGUUUAACUUUAAAAACUUAAAGUUUAGGAGGAAGAAAAAAUCAGCCAGCGAUAAAGAUGAGCAGUUUCGUCUAGUGAAAGGCAUGCCAACACAUGACACAGAGACCACGGAUGCAGGAGAACAGGAAAGCACAGUCGACUCUGGAAUGGCAUCCUGUUCAGGUGUUGAAGUGAGUGGCGAGACAGGGCUUAAUAUUCUCAGAACAAUUCUGAGUGAACAAUUAAACCCAGCUGCAAUGCCGAAAAACUUUUCUCAAGAAUGGCGCCACAGGUACCUUGAAGAAAUAGAUCAGUUUGUGGAAAACAACUUUCCCAAGCUGCCAGCAGAGGGACCACAAAUAUCUCAGUUAGAGCAAAUAAAGGACUUUCAAAAGAGAACACAGAGCACGAUAUAUGAUGAGGUGCUUCGAUUAACACCUGCACUGAAAGAGGCAGGGCUGCUAGAUCAUCUGAUGGACUGCUACAGCCGUCACCUCUUUACCAACCUGGACCUGCUGCUUAACAGAGAUCUGUCUGUAAAAGAGAUCUUCUGCCUUCUGCUGUGGGGAAAACAUUUGUUCUUCAGUCCAGACCCAAAACUGACAUUGUACGAUCCUCUGCUGUUGACAGGAGUGUUUGCAAAAGCAAAACAAAAACUACUGCAAGUACUUAAGAACGAUAUCUCCAUGUAUCUACAGAACAUACUGCGCUAUGAUGAGGAACAUGGACAUAAAGAGGAAUCAAUGGACGAAGAAACUUUCAUCAGAGUGCACUUAGAUGUCAUUCAGGUCCUGAAUAAUGCUAUUUUAGAUGCUCAAAAGGUUGGUCUGACUUUGAUGCACGCCAUACAAAUACUCUGUAGUGAGGAGCUGCAUGCUUUUGUUCAGAAGUAUGCAGAUGCUGAGAAUGAACGUCUAAAUAAACUAAAGUUUACAGAGAAAAACUCUCUGUCUCUGUUUCGGAUAAUCAACACCUGUAUGCAACUCAGAUGCUAUGCUACACAAAUGACUCCAGAUGAUAACAACAGUGAUCAUGAAUCAAGCACUAUAUGCAUGCUACAGAAACUGGAAGAUAAAGCUUCAUCCAUUGUACAAAAGAUCCUGAAAUGCUUAGCACAGGCUAAAUUAGAAAGUUUUUUCAAGAAAAGGAAUGGGCAUAUUGAUAUCCUAAUGGAGGCAAUCCAAAAGCAGUGUGCAUCUCUGCCUGAGACUGCCUCAGAGAUCAAAACGGUCAUUGUGAAAAUAGCUUAUGACAGUGUUUCCAAAGUGUACCUGGAUUGCCUGAUGAAGACAAACUUCAGAAACCUAGAGCAGCGUUGGGGAAAUGCUGAGGAAAAGAUAAAAGAGGAUGUUCAAUAUUUUCAAGAAACAUUCUCUGAACUGAAUGUCAGUGCUAACCAGCAGAACCAGCUCCUUCAGAGAAUGAGUGAAGUUUUGCUUUGCAGUGAUGUAGAAGCACUGAAGAUUACCUGUUGCAAUUUGUUGAGAGAUUUCCCUCAGGAGAGUAAGCAGUAUGUACCUGGUCUGCUGCGCUGGAAGGGGGUUUUAUCAGAGCGACAGGUGAGGGAAGUGCUGGAUGUGACCCAGGACCUCGGCCUCAAUCUACAGCCUAGACGCGUCACCUGUCAGCCUCUGAAGGGACUUUUUUGUUUUCUUUGAUGUGAAUAACAACAUCAGCCAGAACUGUAAAAUCUUUGUUUAAGUUUAAUUCGAUGACAUGACUGUUUUGUGUUAUUCAUUUAUGAUAUUUAUGUUAUACUGGUACAUAGAUAUUUUCAUCAGAUAUUGUAAUAUUUGCUUUUCCCUGAUGACUUUUUGAUGUUACUUGAAAAUAGGAAAUAAUUUUUAUAUCAGACCACUGGAGAAAAAUGAAUUACCCUUUACUCUUUACCCUUUUAAUCUUUUAUAUGAUAAUUUAAUUUUCACAGAGUUACUCAUUUUGACUUCUACCUUUUACAUUGUUACAAAAGAGGAUUGUAACAACAUGUCCAGCUACUGUAUGAACCUAAAUUAUUGUUAUAUUAUUUAAAUGUUCAGUCAGGACCACUCUGUUUGAUUAAGAUUACUGUAGAGGUCCUGAACAUUAUUUUUGGCGACAGGCUUUACGCUCAAGGGUUCAGAGUCUGAGCUGUCCACAAGCAAACCUCACUGAGGUGUAAACCCCGAAGCCUAAUGCAAUUACCAGAUAUAAAAUUCCAUCCAGAAGUGAUACAAGUCUGUAAAUGAGUCUGGACAAGAUUAAACAAUUAGCUGAUGGAUGAUCUCAUGCGCCUGCAGGGUGAGCGACAGACCAAGGCAAGUGUGACUUUGAAAGAACUUAUAUAGAAUAUAUAUCUUAUUUAAUUGUAGUGGGAGGAGUUGCUGAUGCUGGCUGUCACGCCAUGGUCUUCUUGAACUUAUGCUUGAGCUCCAUUCGUCACUCAGACUACAUUUAUAUUUACAUACAAUUAUAUUUUUUGUAAUUUCUUACAUUUUCAUUUGAAAAUAGGUACAGUAUCUUUUGUGUGAUGUGAUUUGUGUGAGCUCCAUUUUUGUGCACACAGAUCAUAAUCCCUUGGUGUUCUUGACCCACAUGUCUAACCCUAAUCAACGUUUAAUGUGUUGAAUAUUAUUUUGAUAUCCGGCACAAGAAAAUAAUUGACAAACAUCAUUGCCAAUGCCCUGUGCAGAUUUCAUUCCUUUGACAAUUAAAAAUGUGUUUUUUUUUUUUUUUUUUUGUGAUUCAUUAUAUUAUCUUAUAACCAGUGGGUGGCUUUGUGAAUCUUUUACCUCAUUUGUGUUGAACUUACUGAAGUAGUGUUUUUUUCCUUUGUUUAUCUGAUUGCACUCCAUGAUUGAGGGGAAUGGGAGAAGUGUUACCUUCUGAGUCUGUUUGAUUCAGCUGUUUUUGUUGUUGUUGUUGUUGUUGUUGUUGUUGUUUUGCUUCACAAGUUUAAUGAUUCAAUUGUUUUUGUGGGGUUUGUAGGGAAGUGGGUGCAAUUUGUUUUGAAGUAGACCUUCCCCCUGUUAAUGUUAGUUGGGGAGUUAACUUAUUUUGCUGGAUUUUUGUUUUCUGCCUUUUUAGUUUAGUUAUAGUUGGUUCAUAAGGAGUGAGUUAUUUUUGUUGUUUUAGCAAUAUCCCAAAAUCUUUUACGAAAUAUAAAAAUUGUGAUUUGCAGUUUUGUUUCAUAAAGAAUUUCAGUAUGUACAAAAUGAUUGCAAAAGCAAAAUUCAUGUGAUCCUCACUAUGGAAAAGAAGCUCCUGCUAAACUGGAGUGAGUCCUGCUUUUCACUGAACUGAUUCUGGAUGCAAGUGAAACUCUUCAGGAUAUUUCUGUGGUCUGAUGGAAAAAGAUUUCCCUUGAGUCUCAGCCGAGCAGAAAUAUGAUGCUGACUGUAACAAGAAUACAGACAGGAGAAAAACACAGUGGUCUUAUUUUUCCCCUGAAUAAUCGCACAGCAGAAACCACCAAACUUAAGAUCAGGGUAAAGCAUCAUCAGACGUGCCAGCUCUAAUUUUGCACUCUUUAGAUCCUGUAGUUUCAGGAGACCUGCUAAUUUGAGAAUUUCUUUCAAACAGUCCAUAUUUGAUCCCUGUGAUAAUGAAAUUUCACUGUGUUUGAUUUAAACUUGUGUUAGUAUGGUAUACAAAAUUUUGGGAUUGGCUUGAAUCUGUGGAACUGUUGGACUAUUAAUGUCAAUGUCAAACUUUUUCAAAAAUAACCUACUGUAUUCUCCAACUGGCCACUGUAAUGUGGAUUAUGAAAAAAUAAACCUCAGAGAAUUUAUGGUAACUGUGUCUUG